GGCAGCUAGCUCCUAUAUCACCAUACUUUUCAAAGAUGGAUCUCAGGAUGGGAGCAAAGCUUUCUUUCACAUGGUAUUUUCCGACAGGGACACGUGCCUCGGAAACCACCGACUCGGUCUCCUCGCCGUCACUGUCUUCGUUGUCAUGGAGAGCACCAGAGAAGCAAAACUUCAUGGACCCACCAUCUGGUUUAGUGAUACCUCCCAUCUCAUAAACAGAGGUGAUUGGAACGACUUUUUGUGAAGCAUUUUUGUCCCCAUUCUGCUUUGGUUGGACCUUGUUGUUGGUAGUCUUUCAAUGAAACAAUGACAAGAGACAAGUCAGAUAUAUGCUUAUUUGGUUUGCUUGUAUUAGGCCAUAAUAUAAACAGAAAUUUUUGACUGAAGAAAAUGCUAGGUUUGACCAAAAAGGAGAAAAGAGAGGCCACUACCAUGACAUCAAGGACAUGUAUUUCUCCAGAAACCGGUAUUAGCUCGUUUCUUUUUGAAUCCCCUUUUGUCUGUUCAGA
rnacentral:lncRNA from 1 species